rnacentral:rRNA from 1 species
GACGAACGCUGGGCGGCGUGCUUAACACAUGCAAGUCGAACGAAGAGCGACGGAAGCUUGCUUCUAUCAAUCUUAGUGGCGAACGGGUGAGUAACGCGUAAUCAACCUGCCCUUCAGAGGGGGACAACAGUUGGAAACGACUGCUAAUACCGCAUACGAUCUAAUCUCGGCAUCGAGGAUGGAUGAAAGGUGGCCUCUACAUGUAAGCUAUCACUGAAGGAGGGGAUUGCGUCUGAUUAGCUAGUUGGAGGGGUAACGGCCCACCAAGGCGAUGAUCAGUAGCCGGUCUGAGAGGAUGAACGGCCACAUUGGGACUGAGACACGGCCCAGACUCCUACGGGAGGCAGCAGUGGGGAAUCUUCCGCAAUGGACGAAAGUCUGACGGAGCAACGCCGCGUGAGUGAUGACGGCCUUCGGGUUGUAAAGCUCUGUUAAUCGGGACGAAAAGGCCUUUCUUGC